AUGAACGCUGGCGGUAUGCUUAACACAUGCAAGUCGAACGGACUCUUCGGAGUUAGUGGCGGACGGGUGAGUAACGCGUGAGAAUCUGGCUUUGGGUUCGGGACAACCACUGGAAACGGUGGCUAAUACCGGAUGUGCCGAGAGGUAAAAGAGAAAUUGCCUGAAGAUGAGCUCGCGUCUGAUUAGCUAGUUGGUGAGGUAAAGGCUCACCAAGGCAGCGAUCAGUAGCUGGUCUGAGAGGAUGACCAGCCACACUGGGACUGAGACACGGCCCAGACUCCUACGGGAGGCAGCAGUGGGGAAUUUUCCGCAAUGGGCGAAAGCCUGACGGAGCAAUACCGCGUGAGGGAAGAAGGCUCUUGGGUUGUAAACCUCUUUUCUUAGGGAAGAACAAAAUGACGGUACCUAAGGAAUCAGCAUCGGCUAACUCCGUG
rnacentral:rRNA from 1 species